GAUGAAGAACGCAGCGAAAUGCGAUAAGUAGUGUGAAUUGCAGAAUUCAGUGAAUCAUCGAAUCUUUGAACGCACAUUGCGCCCUUUGGUAUUCCUUAGGGCAUGCCUGUUCGAGCGUCAUUUAAACCUUCAAGCUAAGCUUGGUGUUGGGUGACUGUCCGCUUCACGGCGGACUCGCCUCAAAAUUAUUGGCGGCCGGUACAUUGGCUUCGAGCGCAGCAGAAACGCGAACUCGGGCCCGUCGUAUUGGCUCCCAGAAGCUAUCUUCACAAUUUUGACCUCGGAUCAGGUAGGGAUACCCGCUGAACUUAAGCAUAUCAAUAACCGGAGGA
rnacentral:misc_RNA from 1 species